rnacentral:rRNA from 1 species
AGUAACACGUAUGCAACCUGCCUGCCACAGCCGGAUAAUCGGGAGAAAUUCCGUCUAAUACGGCAUAAUGCAUCGACGGGACAUCCUGUUGGUGCCAAAGGUUGAUUCCGGUGGCGGAUGGGCAUGCGUCGCAUUAGUUAGUUGGCGGUGUAACGGACCACCAAGACGACGAUGCGUAGGGGUUCUGAGAGGAAGGUCCCCCACACUGGUAACUGAGACACGGACCAGACUCCUACGGGAGGCAGCAG